AUCUACUCUAUUGCAAGAACAUUAGAGCAUCAUUGACGGGGAUGUUAGCUGAAUCUUAGAUAUUUAAUUGAUUUAAAUUAAAUAGUUAAUGCAGCAAUAAAGGUUCCUUAAUUAGCUAAGAAACGUUGCACGUGGCUAAAGCGUCGAAAUCGAAUCCAAUCGAGGGACUCUCCGAUAUUAUCACCUCCGGCCGUUGUUCCGCCGGAACUAAGCGGACGAGACGAGAGAAACCCUAAAACUUGAAUUGACCGAUACAGACACUCUCCAUGAUCUCUGGCGCCGGAUCAAUCCCACGGCGAGUAAUCAGGCGAUUGUUCAUGAAUCCAUGGGUAUUGGAUUCGCAGAGGUUGAUUCUAAUCCGAAUCAGGAAACAGAGUUCGAAUCGAAUAUCUUCUUCUCCUUCUCUUUCAUUUUUCUAGGUACGUAGCAGUUGGAGAUGAGCCAUUGCUCCAGAGCUAUGACAAUCAGUAUAGGCCUUUUGUCAUUGGAGCAGCUAUGAAUAACCAAAAUGAACAUGGAAGAAGAGAUGCGAUAGAGGAAAUUAAUGGGGAAUUAAUCAAGGAUAAGGAGAACCUAGCUGAACAACUUGAUAAAACUUCUUCUAUGCCUCUUAGAUUGACAAUCUACAAGACUACAUGCUCAUUUGAAAAAGAAGCUCAAGAGUAGACAAGUGGAGUUCACUUGGAGGCCACCACGAAUCCACCCAUCUCCUUUCCGAUUUCCCGUUCAGAUAGUGAUAUAGAAUCAAUGGAUCACUACAUGAGGAUGCCUGCUAUUAACCACUUUCUAUCUUAUAUGUCCAUGUCCUCGUAUCAAAAAAGACAAGCUUUCGAUGAAUCCAGGCGGGAUAAUGAUAUUCGGGUGGACAGUAGACAUGCAUUUGAUAAACACAAUAUUUUUUUUUUUUUUUU